rnacentral:rRNA from 1 species
UGGGGAAUAUUGCACAAUGGGCGAAAGCCUGAUGCAGCAACGCCGCGUGAGGGACGACGGCCUUCGGGUUGUAAACCUCUUUUAGCAAGGAAGAAGCGAAAGUGACGGUACUUGCAGAAAAAGCGCCGGCUAACUACGUGCCAGCAGCCGCGGUAAUGCGUAGGGCGCAAGCGUUAUCCGGAAUUAUUGGGCGUAAAGAGCUCGUAGGCGGUUUGUCGCGUCUGCUGUGAAAACCCGAGGCUCAACCUCGGGCCUGCAGUGGGUACGGGCAGACUAGAGUGCGGUAGGGGAGAUUGGAACUCCUGGUGUAGCGGUGGAAUGCGCAGAUAUCAGGAAGAACACCGAUGGCGAAGGCAGAUCUCUGGGCCGUAACUGACGCUGAGGAGCGAAAGGGUGGGGAGCAAACAGGCUUAGAUACCCUGGUAGUCCACCCCGUAAACGUUGGGAACUAGUUGUGGGGUCCAUUCCACGGAUUCCGUGGACGCAGCUAACGCAUUAAGUUCCCCGCCU